AAGCGUUCUCAGGGCGGGGUGCAAUUCCCCACCGGCGGUGAUGGCGGCGAAAGUCGCACAAGCCCGCGAGCGCCUCGAACCUUCUACAGGUUCGAGGGUCAGCAGAUUUCGGUGCGAUUCCGAAGCCGACGGUCACAGUCCGGAUGAAAGAGAGCGCGA
rnacentral:ncRNA from 2 species